UACGAAGGGGGCUAGCGUUGUUCGGAAUUACUGGGCGUAAAGGGCGCGUAGGCGGUACUUCAAGUCAGGCGUGAAAGCCCCGGGCUCAACCUGGGAACCGCGCUUGAGACUGGAGAACUAGAGUUCGGGAGAGGAUGGUGGAAUUCCCAGUGUAGAGGUGAAAUUCGUAGAUAUCGGGAGGAACACCGGUGGCGAAGGCGGCUCACUGGACCGGAACUGACGCUGAGGCGCGAAAGCGUGGGGAGCAAACGGG
rnacentral:rRNA from 1 species